UACGGAGGGGGCUAGCGUUGUUCGGAAUUACUGGGCGUAAAGCGCGCGUAGGCGGCUUUGUAAGUUAGAGGUGAAAGCCCGGAGCUCAACUCCGGAACUGCCUUUAAGACUGCAUCGCUAGAACGUCGGAGGGGUAAGUGGAAUUCCGAGUGUAGAGGUGAAAUUCGUAGAUAUUCGGAAGAACACCAGUGGCGAAGGCGACUUACUGGACGACUGUUGACGCUGAGGUGCGAAAGCGUGGGGAGCAAACAGG
rnacentral:rRNA from 1 species